ACGGGAGGCAGCAGUGGGGAAUAUUGCACAAUGGGCGCAAGCCUGAUGCAGCGAUGCCGCGUGAGGGAAGAAGGUUUUCGGAUUGUAAACCUCUGUCAUCGGGGACGAUAAUGACUGUACCCGAGAAGGAAGCUCCGGCUAACUACGUGCCAGCAGACGCGGUAAUACGUAGGGAGCGAGAGGUAUCCGGAAUUACUGGGUGUAAAGGGAGUGUAGGCGGGACUGUAAGUCAAAUGUGAAAUAUACCGGCUCAACUGGUAGACUGCAUUUGAACCUGUGGUUCUUGAGUGAAGUAGAGGUAAGCGGAAUUCCUAGUGUAGCGGUGAAAUGCGUAGAUAUUAGGAGGAACAUCAGUGGCGAAGUCGGCUUACUGGGCUUUAACUGACGCUGAGGCUCGAAAGCGUGGGGAGCAAACAUGCUUAGAUACCCUGGUA
rnacentral:rRNA from 1 species